UACGUAGGGGGCAAGCGUUGUCCGGAAUCAUUGGGCGUAAAGCGCGUGUAGGCGGUUCGAUAAGUCUGCUGUGAAAGUCCAGGGCUCAACCCUGGGAUGCCGGUGGAUACUGUCGAGCUAGAGUACGGAAGAGGCGAGUGGAAUUCCCGGUGUAGCGGUGAAAUGCGCAGAGAUCGGGAGGAACACCAAUGGCGAAGGCAGCUCGCUGGGACGGUACUGACGCUGAGACGCGAAAGCGUGGGGAGCGAACAGG
rnacentral:rRNA from 1 species